AGUGAACGCUGGCGGUAGGCCUAACACAUGCAAGUCGAACGGCAGCACAGUAAGAGCUUGCUCUUACGGGUGGCGAGUGGCGGACGGGUGAGGAAUACAUCGGAAUCUACUUUUUCGUGGGGGAUAACGUAGGGAAACUUACGCUAAUACCGCAUACGACCUACGGGUGAAAGCAGGGGAUCUUCGGACCUUGCGCGAUUGAAUGAGCCGAUGUCGGAUUAGCUAGUUGGCGGGGUAAAGGCCCACCAAGGCGACGAUCCGUAGCUGGUCUGAGAGGAUGAUCAGCCACACUGGAACUGAGACACGGUCCAGACUACUACGGGAGGCAGCAGUGGGGAAUAUUGGACAAUGGGCGCAAGCCUGAUCCAGCCAUACCGCGUGGGUGAAGAAGGCGUUCGGGUUGUAAAGACCUUUUGUUGGGAAAGAAAAGCAGCAGGUUAAUACCCCGCUGUUCUGACGGUACCCAAAGAAUAAGCACCGGCUAACUUCGUG
rnacentral:rRNA from 1 species